UAUUAAAAAUAAGAAUUGAUUAAACCUUUUUCUGUAAAAAUGGUUUGUUCUACCAACAGCCAAUCAAUGAUACCCUAACACCUACAGCCUAUCAGAGUGAUACCUUAACACCAACAGCCAAUCAGGGUGAUACCCUAAACACAAGCGCCAACUUAACUUUGUUAAUGCUGUACUAGAAAAAAAGAAUUGAAGUGCCACUGCAAUGUCAUUUUUGGAGCAUGCUGCUACUACCAAUCCCGUUCCAGCCAAUCGCUGCGAAGCAGCCUUUCCUCUUUGGCUUUUUAUGUGCACGCGCAUUUUACCUGGAUGGUGCUAUAUAUAGCAUAUGUAUGCCAUAAGGAGCAAGUUUGCUUACUGUAAGAAACUAUAACGGCAGAGGCAAGGACUGCCAUGUCUACUAGAGCAUACACUACUAUGGUAAAGCGAAGUCUUUAUGUAGCUUGCUACCAGGAACCCUAAGCUAACAUUAGCAAGGCUAACGCUAUUUUUGUUUGGAACCUGAUUCUCUGUUGGGCAUUGGUGAGGGAACCUGAAGGGGCUCUCUGUUUCCACUGGGAGUAUGACACUAUGGACUCCACUUGGAGUCAGGAGAGAGAAGGACAUUUUCAACAACCUGCUUUCAGGCUUCUUCACCAGGGACAUCACUGGUGACCCUCAGAGACAAUAAAGUUCCUCCUUCUGAGACCCAGGUAUCAAACUAAUUUCUGCAUGCCUGGCUGACCUCUCUGCUUGGAUGAUGAACCACUGCAUCAAGCUCAAUCCCGCCAAGAGGGAACUGUUCUACCAGGAGGGUAGUUCUGUCUGUUCCAAGACUUCUCAGUCAGGGUCGACAACUUUACGGCAUUCCCCUCCGAAUGUGAAGAACCUUGCAGUAACCCAUGACAACACCCUGCUGUUCUGCGGAAACAUAAGGGAAUGAUUCCGCAGGUUCAAACUCCUGCAACUCAUUCUGAGAAAUAUGGAAUGGACAACAAACAUCUUAGUGAUCAAAGUAACUUUUUUGUGCAUAAGAUGUCUGUACACCAAUCAGCCCAAGCCGCAUCAUACCGGUAUGAGCCUGUUUGUGUGUCUGUGUGUGUGUGUGAAACCGUCAGUUGUCAGCUUUUGGUGGUGUAAAGAAUUGACAUGAAUAAUAAUACUGAUGGAAUGCCCUAGGCUGUCUGAAUAAUGUUUUUCUUCACAGUGUAUUUGUUAAUGAUUGUCGUUAAGCCUAGUCAUUAUAAAUAGUCAUGUAUAGGUUAAUGAAAACGUUAUGUAUGCUACAUGCUUUAUACACUGACGCAACAAGUUAAAUCAUGUUUUCCUCCCUACUGAACCCGCCCCUUCACAUGUUUUUCCGUGUUCUUCUGCAUUGGAGGUUGGUAAUGCUAUUCAGAAUACCACAGCCUGCAUGGUGUUAAAACUUCACAAGCUCUCCUAUGUCAACCCAUCCUGCAAACAUUAUACUGACUUCCAGUUGAAGCUCACAUCCAUCAGUUCAGAGAAAUAAGUAGUAGCAAUUCCAUGUAAUGCUUAAGUAAAACCUUAAAAUCAUCCCUCUUUAUGAGGGAGUCAGUGUAGACUUUGAGAUCUGAUCAGUUCAGACCUUACAGGAAACAUGAAGACAGUGUUAGUGCAAGUUAUACUUUCUACUAUAGUUUCCCACCAAUCUUAGCAUCUUAGCCUCAAGCCUCACAGCAGAAUAUUUGUUGCCGUGAAUGUGCUUUUUGUAAUUCUGAAAAUAAAAUACACAUGUAAUUCAAGUUUAAUCUAUACAAAUAUUAGAUUACCUAAUUGCAACUUUGCUAAAUGUAUUCACACUUCAUUUUAUAGGCUUGUAGAAUAUCAUUUAAGCACAGGCCUAAAGAAAACACCCUUGUAAAAAUAAGCUUGCACAGAUCUGAAUGUACAUAGACUUGCAAAAUAUGAUUAAAGAUUUGAAGAUCAAGCUUGUAUCCUUGGCCUUUAACAUACAGUUAUGGCCCUCAAUAUCCAACCAUGAAAGUUGACAUACAAGUUAUUUAAAAAAAGGAAAUGGGCUGGCCAUUCACAGUUCUCGUGAAAUGCUUUGGAAGAGUUAUGAAACAAGGUCUGAUAAUGCUUCUGAAAAUAUGGUUAAAGGAUUGAUGUGGUAAUUCUGAGCAUUGCUGUUUACAGAAACUCCAUCUGCAUGGCCCAUUGGAAUUUUAUUCUUUUGACUUUUCCUCACAAACCCAAUUGAUCACAUUAAAUCUUAUAUAUGCCAUACCAUACAAACAAUUGGGCAUCCUGAUUCAAGAAUGUUUGGCGAGACAGAUUUUCUCCCCCUGCUUUAUUCCAAAAUAGUAGUUAUGCAGUGAGUGGGAGGUUCACAGGUCCAUGUCCUCCUUGACUGAAGGAGCUGCAAACAGUGACUCACAGCCAAAUCAGAGUUUCAGGUACUUUCUGAAUUUUGCCCUUUAUUCUCUUUUUACUGGAAACAAACAUUUGGGAAAAAGAACAAUGUAUGAAUGCAAACGCAAAGUACACAUUUCUCCAAAUAUCUACAUGUAGCAAGCUGUCUAACUUGUUAUUACAUUUAUUAUCUUUGUCUGUUAACCAAGGAAAAAUCGUAAGUGUACAACUAUAUAUUAGCUACAGUGUUGUUUUGCGAAACUUGUAGUUAGCUUGUGCCACAGCAGAUUUUUCCCUAUCGUGAUGGCAGUUCAUAUGUAUGAAAACAGUGUUUUUGUGGAUAGAAAAGUAUUUUCAAGUGAACACAGUUUUUGUUUAAAUGGACAUUUCACCUUUGGGGACAUGUUUGAGAGAUUUCUAGGUGAGAUUUGUUUCACCCAUAAUUGGCAGUAUGAGUGCGAGAAUGGGACACAUUCUUGUACAUCAGAGUGUAUAUUGAAUGAAUAGAAGUCAUACUCCCCAUAACAUCUGGAAAACCGUCUCUUUGCGUUCAUACACCAUUCAUUCUGUACAUUGUAUAUAAGCUUAAGUGUUUUGAUCAGUCUUUUAACAGCUUAAAAGCAAAUUCAAUUAUUUUGCUGUCAUUCUGGC
ensembl:lncRNA